rnacentral:rRNA from 1 species
GAGAGGGUGGUCACUCACACUGGGACUGAGAUACGGCCCAGACUCCUACGGGGGGCAGCAGUCUAGAAGCUUCCACAAUGGACGAAAGUCUGAUGGAGCGACGCCGCGUGUGGGAUGACAGCCGUGAGGUUGUAAACCACUGUCAGCAGGGAAGAAUGCCUUGAUGGUGAAUCAGGGAGAGACGGUACCUGCAGAGGAAGCCCCGGCUAACUCCGUGCCAGCAGCCGCGGUAAUACGGAGGGGGCAAACGUUGUUCGGAUUUACUGGGCGUAAAGGGUGUCUAGGCGGUUCGAUAAGUCUGGUGUGGAAUAUCCUCGCUCAACGAGGAAGACGCAUUGGAAACUGUCGAGCUCGAGAAGUGGAAAGAGGCAGGUGGAAUUCCUGGUGUAGCGGUGGAAUGCGUAGAUAUCCAGGAAGAACACUCGUGGCGAAGGCGGUCUGCUGGUCCAUUUCUGACGCUGAAGCACGAAAGCCAGGGGAGCGAACGGGAUUAGAUACCCCGGUAGUCCUGGCCGUAAACGUUGAACACUGGAUGUCGGGGGUAUCGACCCCCUCGGUGUCGGAGCUAACGCGUUAAGUGUUCCGCCUGGGGAGUACGACCGCAAGGUUGAAACUCAAAGGAAUUGACGGGGGCCCGCACAAGCGGUGGAGGAUGUGGUUUAAUUCGACGCAACGCGAAGAACCUUACCUGGGCUUAAACCGCAGGGUAAACCCUCUGAAAGGAGGGCUGCUUCGGCAAUCCUGUAGAGGUGCUGCAUGGCUGUCGUCAGCUCGUGUCGUGAGAUGUUGGGUUAAGUCCCGCAACGAGCGCAACCCUUGCUCUUAGUUACCAGCGCGUAAUGGCGGGGACUCUAAGAGGACUGCCCUCGCAAGGGGGAGGAAGGUGGGGAUGACGUCAAGUCCUCAUGGCCCUUAUGUCCAGGGCUACACACGUCCUACAAUGGCCGGUACAAAGGGCUGCAAGCUCGCGAGAGUUAGCUAAUCCCAAAAAGCCGGUCCCAGUUCGGAUUGCAGUCUGCAACUUGACUGCAUGAAGGUGGAAUCGCUAGUAAUCGUGGAUCAGCAUGCCACGGUGAAUACGUUCCCGGGCCUUGUACACACCGCCCGUCACAUCACGAA